CUAUAACUCCAAUGACGAAAUCAGUUUUACAGUGAUAUGAUAAUUUAAAU
rnacentral:guide_RNA from 1 species